ACUACAUGAAGCUGGAAUCGCUAGUAAUCGCGAAUCAGAAUGUCGUGGUGAAUACGUUCCCGGGUCUUGUACACACCGCCCGUCACACCAUGGGAGUCGGUAAUACCCGAAGUCAGUAGUCCAACCUCGUGAGGACGCUGCCGAAGGUAGGAUUGGCGACUGGGGUGAAGUCGUAACAAGGUAAC
rnacentral:rRNA from 1 species